CUGAUUUGCAGCAUCGGUGGCACAGCAGUGUUCCUCCUGUGUCCGUCGAGCCCUGCAGGAAAAAGCAGUAAAACCACGCUUGGCCAAAAGGCACCUGAAGCAGCAAGGAACGCACUUACAGCAUAGGCAAACGCCAGACAACCCUAGUCCUGUGGCCGUUUUGGGGUAAUGUGUGGGCUGAUCUGGAGCACCAUUCUUAUGGAGACAGGCUGAAAGAGCUGGAGUUCGUCAGCCUGGAGAAGAAAAGGCUCCAGGGAGACCUUAGAGCAGCUUCCAGUGCCUAAAGGGGAUGACAAGAAAUCUGGAGAGGGACUUUGUACAAGAGUAUGUGUUGAAGCAUAGUCUGGUGGUUGAGGGAGCAUCACAGAUUGAAGCUUGGGGGAUCUGUGGCCAGACACAAAGGAUAAGCUCUGACUCACAGCAUCGGCACAGCUAAGUCCUUGGACUGCAUUGUAGAUGAGGGAGGUUGGGUGAGCGGAAGGUGGUUGUGCCCUCCCUGGGGAUGAGCCAUACUGUGUGGCAGUCUGGGUACUGCUGGGUGGAGGGAGCUGGAAAUCUUAUCUGGGAGGGUGAAGUUUGGGCAUUUAGUGAGUGAUGUACAGGCCCAGCAAUGGGAAUUUGCUUGAUGGGCCAAGUGGUUGUGUACCUUGGACUACAAAUGUUCAUUGUGUGAGUAA